GGAGAGUUUGAUCCUGGCUCAGGAUGAACGCUGGCGGCGUGCCUAAUACAUGCAAGUCGAACGGUGUAUAUAAUUUAUUAUAUACAUAGUGGCGAACGGGUGAGUAACGCGUUGGUGACCUGCCCUAAAGCGGGGGACAACAGUUCGAAAGGGCUGCUAAUACCCCAUGUGGUUGUUCGGGAUUAGAAGCGGACAACUAAAGGAUAGCCCUGUGAGGGGAAAUUCGCUUUAGGAGGGGCCUGCGUCCCAUCAGCUAGUUGGUAGGGUAAAGGCCUACCAAGGCGUAGACGGGUAGGGGACCUGAGAGGGUGGCCCCCCACAAUGGAACUGAAACACGGUCCAUACACCUACGGGUGGCAGCAGUAGGGAAUAUUGCACCAUGGACGGAAGUCUGAUGCAGCAACGCCGCGUGAGUGAUGAAGGCCUUCGGGUCGUAAAACUCUUUUCAAGGGGAAGAGGAAGGACGGUACCCUUGGAAUAAGCAUCGGCUAACUACGUGCCAGCAGCCGCGGUAACACGUAGGAUGCAAGCGUUAUUCGGAUUUACUGGGCGUAAAGCGCGUGUAGGCGGUUGGGAUAGUUGGAUGUGAAAGCUCCCGGCUUAACUGGGAGAGGUCGUUCAAAACUUCCCAACUAGAGUUUGGUAGAGGAAAAUGGAAUUCCGGGUGUAGUGGUGAAAUGCGUAGAUAUCCGGAGGAACACCAGUGGCGAAAGCGAUUUUCUGGACCGAUACUGACGCUCAGACGCGAAAGCUAGGGUAGCAAACGGGAUUAGAGACCCCGGUAGUCCUAGCCGUAAACGAUGUAGACUAGGCGUUGGUGGAGUAAAAUUCAUCAGUGCCGCAGCAAACGCGAUAAGUCUACCGCCUGGGGAGUACGGCCGCAAGGUUAAAACUCAAAGGAAUUGACGGGGCCCCGCACAAGCAGCGGAGCGUGUGGUUUAAUUCGAUGCUACACGAAGAACCUUACCAGGGUUUGACAUAUAAGUGGUAGGGAAGGGAAACCGGACCGACCCUUCGGGGAGCUUAUACAGGUGCUGCAUGGCUGUCGUCAGCUCGUGUCGUGAGAUGUUCGGUUAAGUCCGCUAACGAGCGCAACCCUCGCUGUGUGUUACAAGUGUCACACGGUACUGCCGGUCUUAAACCGGAGGAAGGUGGGGAUGACGUCAAGUCAGCAUGGCCUUUAUAUCCUGGGCUACACACACGCUACAAUGGGUAGGGACAAUUGGUUGCGAAACCGCGAGGUGGAGCCAAUCCGUAAAAACUACCCUCAGUUCAGAUUGCAGGCUGCAACUCGCCUGCAUGAAGUCGGAGUUGCUAGUAACCGCAGGUCAGCUAUACUGCGGUGAAUACGUUUCCGGGGCUUGUACACACCGCCCGUCACGUCAUGGGAGCUGGUAACACCUGAAGCCGGUAGCUUAACCCGUAAGGGAGGGCGCUGUCGAAGGUGGGGCUGGUGACUGGGACGAAGUCGUAACAAGGUAGGAGUACCGGAAGGUGCGCCUGGAUCACCUCCUUUCUA
rnacentral:rRNA from 1 species